rnacentral:rRNA from 1 species
UUUGGAACCUUACCUGGGCUAGAAUGUAUUUUGCUACCUUGAGAAAUUGAUGGUUCCUUCGGGACGGAAUACAAGGUGCUGCAUGGCUGUCGUCAGCUCGUGCCGUGAGGUGUUGGGUUAAGUCCUAUAACGAGCGAAACCCUUUUACUUAAUUGCCAGCACGUAAUGGUGGGGACUUUAAGUAGACUGCCCGUGUAAGCGGGAGGAAGGAGAGGACGAGGUCAAGUCAUCAUGGCCUUUAUGCCCAGGGCUACACACGUACUACAAUGGCAUGUACAAAGGGAAGCUACUUGGUAACAAGAUGCAAAUCUCAAAAGCAUGUCUCAGUUCGGAUUGGGGUCUGCAAUUCGACCUCAUGAAGUUGGAAUCGCUAGUAAUCGCGUAUCAGCAAUGACGCGGUGAAUACGUUCUCGGACCUUGUACACACCGCCCAUCAAGCCAUGGGAGUUGGUAGAGCUUGAAGACAGUGGCAA